UACGGAGGGGGCUAGCGUUGUUCGGAAUUACUGGGCGUAAAGCGCACGUAGGCGGCUUUGCAAGUUAGAGGUGAAAGCCCGGAGCUCAACUCCGGAACUGCCAUUGAAACUGUUUAGCUUGAGGAUGAGAGAGGUGAGUGGAAUUCCCAGUGUAGAGGUGAAAUUCGUAGAUAUUGGGAAGAACACCCGUGGCGAAGGCGGCUCUCUGGGACGGUACUGACGCUGAGACGCGAAAGCGUGGGGAGCGAACAGG
rnacentral:rRNA from 1 species